rnacentral:rRNA from 1 species
GACGAACGCUGGCGGCGUGCCUAAUACAUGCAAGUAGGACGCAGUUGCGAACGGGUGAGUAACGCGUAGGUAACUACCUAUUAGAGGGGGAUAACUAUUGGAAACGAUAGCUAAUACCGCAUACUAGUAGAUGGACCUGCGUUGUAUUCGCUAGUAGGUAGGGUAAUGGCCUACCUAGGCAACGAUACAUAGCCGAACUGGAGUGGUGUGCGGCCAAACUGGGACUGAGAAACGGCCCAGACUCCUCCGGGAGGCAGAAGUAGGGAAUCUGCGGCAAUGGGGGGAACCCUGACCGAGCAACGCCGCGGGAGUGAAGAAGGUUUUCGGAUCGUAAAGCUCUGUUGUUAAGGAAGCGGUACUUAACCAGAAAGGGACGGCUAACUACGUGCCAGCAGCCGCGGUAAUUC